AAAAUCCGUCGACUUUAGAAAUCGUGAGGGUUCAAGUCCUAUCCCCA
rnacentral:tRNA from 1 species